rnacentral:lncRNA from 1 species
AAAUUAAAAUUUGAAAUUUGAAAUUUGAAAUUUGAACUUUUUGAAAUUUGAAAUUUGAAAUUUGAAAUUUGAAAUUUGAAAUUUGAAAUUUGAAAUUUGAAAUUUGAAAUUUGAAGUUUUUGAAAUUUGAAAUUUAAAAUUUAAAAUUUGAAGUUUUUGAAAUUUGAAAUUUGAAAUUUAAAAUUUAAAAUUUAAAAUCAAAAUUAAAUUUGAAUUUUAAAAUUUUAAAAUUUGAAAUCUAAAAUUUUAUGUUGAAAUUUAAAAUUUAAAAAUUGAUAUAUCUUUCGGAGCCCAAAAUGGUGGAAUUUUUUUCCUUUGGUUAAAGUGGAUUGUAAGUUUACUCCAUUUUUUGGAGUAUAGUAUAACUAUACUCCAAAAAUUACGUCUUAUUUUUUUUCUUCCAAACGCUUCAUAGGAUUAUUUUCCUACCAGCGUAGCAUAGCUACGUUUUUAGAGGUUUCCAAACGGAGCCUUAGGGUACGUUUGGUUCACCUAUUUUAGAUUAUGGAAUCGAAAUGAAAUUCAUUGAUUCCGAUAGUUGUUGUUUGUUUUAUAGGAAUCGGAUUCCGGUUCCCAUUUCGCUUCGAAUGAGAAUGGCCAAAUCCAUUUAUGACUCAAUCCGCUUUUUAAUUCCGGAUUGGCCCAUUCCAAUAUAAACUAUUCAAAAUUCUCUUUCUACUAACAACUAUCUCAUCUCUUUUUAUCACUUUCUUCUCUCUUAAUCAAAAUCCUCUUUAAAAAAUUCUAAAUUUUCAUUUCGAUUUCCAUUUCAAUAAUGAACUAAAUAUUUUUGGAUGAUUCGUUAUUCCAUUUUCUAUUCCAAAGCAAUCCAAUUCUAUUUUUCAUUUCUAUUUCAAUCAUAAACCAAAUAUGCCCUUACCGAAAAGUAAAAUCAUGGCAUAUAGACCAUUAAUUAAUUUAUAAGUUUAACAAUUUACACACAGAUCAA